rnacentral:rRNA from 1 species
AUGGCGACCUCCUUCGCGUUCGGCAAUUCCGGCGGGGCGGGAUCCACCUCGUCCUCCCCCUUCUCCUUCUCCACCGCCCCAUCCGCCUUCUCCUCGUCCCCCGCCCCCGCGUUCGGCUCGUCCCCCGCCCCCGCAUUCGGUUCGUCCCCCUUCUCCGCGACCACCGCUUCCUCUGCUCCGGCUUUUGGUUCAUCCCUCUUCGGAUCCACCCCCGCCUCCGCGUCCGCUCCGGCCACCGCCACCGCUUCCUCCCCGUCCGCUUUCGGCUUCGGGGCCACUGGUUUCGGGUUCUCUCAGCCCGCGGCCACCGCGUCCGCCUCACCCCUCUUCGGCGCACCCGCCACCUCCGCCGCGGCAACCACGCCUAGCAUAUUCGGGGCCGCCACGACCACCCCCAGCCCCUUCGGUGCAUCGGCCACCUCGUCUGCGGCCACCACCCCGAGCCUCUUCGGGGCCGUCUCCUCCCCCGCGGCCACACCAGGUCUCUUCGGUGCGACCACCGCCGCCGCCAGCACCCCCAGUAUAUUCGGCGCCGUCUCUUCCGCUCCGUCCACGCCUGGCCUUUUCUCUGGCGCCGCCACGGGAUUCGGCUUUGGCUCAUCGGCAUCAGGCUCCGCCGCCGCUUCGACACCGUCAUUCGGCUUCGGCGCGCCCGCCGCAUCUAGCACCGCUACUACCUCGGCUUCGGCACCGGCUCUGUUUGGGGCCGCCACUGGUGGCUCGUCCUUGUUUGGAUCUACCUCCACGGCGCCGUUGUUCGGUGCCGCGGCCUCGUCUCCUGCAACCACUGCCACGACCGCGCCAUCCCUUGGCUUUUCAUUAGCGCCAGCAACAACUGUCUCUGCUCCGUCGUUUGGUUUCACGCCGGCAUCAGGAAGCACAACGACGGCCAGCACCGCCUCUUCCUUGUUCUCGGGUGCUUCUUCAGCCUCUGCCUUCUCGUUCUCCAACAGUGCAUCCGCUGCUCCCACCACGCCUGCCUCUGCGCCCGCCAGUGGUUUCUCCUUGGCCACUUCGCAGGCUGCAUCUGCUCCGUCAUUGUUCUCUAAUACUGGUGCAGCUGCAAGCUCGUCGGCGACCUCUCUUAGCUCCCCGUUCGGUGCAUCUUUUGCUACUCCCACGCCAACGUUUGGUUCUGCUUCCGCAACGAGUGCAUCCACUGUUCCAUCAGCUGCGGCUGCCCCUGCCCCUGCAACCUCGGGGUCAUCAUUGUUCUCCGCUAGCGGUUUCAGCUUUACAGUCCCGCAGGCGUCAUCAGCUGCAGCAGUUACAACCACUGCCACCACUAUCACUACUUCUGCAGCCACGACUCCUUCUACCACAACAACUGCAUUUCCUAGUUUUAGCUUGCAAGCUUCCACACCAGCUCCUGGCUCAACUUCGGCAGCUCAGUCUACACUGCUUGGCGGUUCUACUACAGCUGCAAGCACACUAGCCACCAUCGCCACCACAAGUCAGGCGACUUCCUCAGCUAUUCAAGCUAGCAGCACUGGAGCUAGUACGAGUGCCAUCACUCCAGCAGCACCUCAAGCAGCUAAGCUUCCGUCAGAAAUUGUUGGUAAAUGUGUCGAGGAGAUUAUUAGGGACUGGAACAAUGGUCUUCAAGACCGCACUGCAAAGUUCCGGAAGCAUGCAACUGCCAUAUCUGAAUGGGACAGGAGAAUUCUGCAAAACAGGAAUGUUCUUAUAAGGCUUGAGGCUGAUGUGGCCAAAGUUGUUGAAACACAAACAAGCUUGGAGAGGCAACUUGAGUUGAUAGAAACUCAUCAGAAAGAGGUGGACAAGGCUCUGCAGAGCAUGGAGGAGGAAGCCGAGCGUAUAUUCCAGGAUGAACGGGUCUUACUUCGUGAAGAUGAGGCUGCCUCGGCAAGGGAUAUAAUGUACGAGCAAGCUGAAGUUGUGGAGAAUGAGUUGCAGCAUAUGACAGAACAAGUGAAAUCCAUCAUUCAGACCAUGAAUUCUACUCAGGGUGGUGAGCUUGAGGCUACGGAUACCAUGGCACCAUUUGAUGUUGCUGUCCGAAUACUGGAUAAUCAACUGCGCUCUCUAAUGUGGAUUGAUGAGAAGGCAAACGAGUUCUCAAACAGAAUACAGAGACUGCCCAACAAUAGUACUGCGGCUGAGCGCGACUCUGGAAUCCCAAGGUUUUGGUUAAGCUGA